rnacentral:rRNA from 1 species
UACGGAAGGCAGCAGUGGGGAAUAUUGCACAAUGGGCGCAAGCCUGAUGCAGCCAUGCCGCGUGUAUGAAGAAGGCCUUCGGGUUGUAAAGUACUUUCAGUCGUGAGGAAGGUGUUAAGGUUAAUAACCUUAGCAAUUGACGUUAGCGACAGAAGAAGCACCGGCUAACUCCGUGCCAGCAGCCGCGGUAAUACGGAGGGUGCGAGCGUUAAUCGGAAUUACUGGGCGUAAAGGGCACGCAGGCGGCUAAUUAAGUUGGAUGUGAAAUCCCCGGGCUUAACCUGGGAAUGGCAUUCAAGACUGGUUAGCUAGAGUCUUGUAGAGGGGGUAGAAUUCCAUGUGUAGCGGUGAAAUGCGUAGAGAUGUGGAGGAAUACCGGUGGCGAAGGCGGCCCCUGGGACAAAGGCUGACGCUCAUGUGCGAAAGCGUGGGGAGCAAACAGGGAUUAGAUACC